rnacentral:rRNA from 1 species
AGUUUGACUGGCUCAGAUUGAACGCUGGCGGGAUGCUUUACACAUGCAAGUCGAACGGCAGCACGGACUUCGGUCUGGUAAGUAGUGGCGAACGGGUGAGUAAUGUAUCGGAACGUGCCUAGUAGCGGGGGAUAACUACGCUGAAAGGUAGCUAAUACUGCAUAACACUUUUCGGGAAAGCGGGACCUUCGGGCCUCGCACUAUUAGAGCGGCCGAUAUCGGAUUAGCGAAGUUGGUGGGGUAACGGCUCACCAAGGCGACGAUCCGUAGCUGGUUUGAGAGGACGACCAGCCACACUGGGACUGAGACAUGGCCCAGACUCCCAGGGAGGCAGCAGUGGGGAAUUUUGGACAAUGGGAAACCCUGAUCCAGCCAUCCGCGUGUGCGAUGAAGGCCUUCGGGUUGUAAAGCACUUUGGCAGGAAAGAAACGGCACGGGAUAAUACCCCGUGCAACUGACGGUACCUGCAGAAUAAGCAUCAUUAACCAUUGUGCCAGCAGCCGCGGUAAUACGUAGGGUGCAAGCGUUAAUCGGAAUUACUGGGCGUAAAGCGUGCGCAGGUACUCCUGGGCAGAUGUGAAAUCCCAGAGCUAACUUUGAACUGGUAUUUUUAACUACCGAGCUAGAGGUCAGGGAGUGGGUGGAAUUCGCGGCAGUGAAUGUAUGCGGAGGAACACCGAUGGCGAAGGCAGCCUCCUGAGAUAACACUGAUUGCUCGAUAAAGACGAAAGCGUGGGGAGCAAACAGGAUUAGAUACCCUGGUAGCCCACGCCCUUAAACGAUGUCAACUAGCUGUUGGGGCCUUUCGGGCCUUGGUAGCGCAGCUAACGCGUGAAGUUGACCGCUCAGAGUGUCGGUCGCAAGAUUAAAACUCAAAGGAAUUGACGUAGACCCGCACAAGCGGUGGAUGAUGUGGAUGACUGAUGCAACGCGAAAAACCUUACCUACCUGACAUGUCUGGAAUCCCGAAGAGAUUUGGGAGUAGUUUCGCAAGAGAACCGAACACAGGUGCUGCAUGGAUGUCGUCAGCUCGUGUCAUGAGAUGUUGGGUUAAGUCCCGCAACGAGUGCAACCCUUGUCAUUAGUUGCUACGAAAGGCACUCUAAUGAGACUGCCGCGACAAACCGGAGGAAGGUGGGGAUGACGUCAAGUCCUCAUGGCCCUUAUGGGUAGGGCUUCACACGUCAUACAAUGGUCGGGAUAGAGGGUCGCCAACCCGCGAGGGGGAGCCAAUCCGCAGAAACCCGAUCGUAGUCCGGAUCGCAGUCUGCAACUCGACUGCGUGAAGUCGGAAUCGCUAGUAAUCGCGGAUCAAGCAUGUCGCGGUGAAUACGUUCCCGGUCUUGUACACACUGCCAGUCACACCAUGGGAGUGGGUUUUACCAGAAGAGUUGGCCUAACCGUAAAGAGGCGGAUUACCACGGUAGGAUUCAUGAUCAGUGAAGUCGUAACAAGGUAG